rnacentral:lncRNA from 1 species
GGCUAUCAAGGAACCCCAAUGCAGCACUACCUACUCAAUAACACAAACACUAUCAAGGAGGCUAUCAAGGAACCCCCAAUGCGGAUGCUCUAAUACUCUUAUCCGUAGUAAUGGCUGCUCUAGUGUCGCACGUGCCGAACGGCAUCUCUCACGUGCGCGCCAAUUCAGUGUGCACUGCCUGCGGCUAUUAUAAAUCCAACUGCUACGCCAACUUGGCAGCUCACGCAAUUGCUCCGCGAUUCCUCUCGGCUCAUAGGAGAAUGGAGCAUUCCGACGCCGCCGCGAAGCUUCGCUCCGAGUUUCUGCAGGUCCUCCGCAGCCGCCGCACUGCCGAAGGUCGUGUCUCGCUCUGUUCGCUCUGUGUGUGUGUUUUAUUUUUUGAAAAUCGUUGAAUUAUGGCGUGAUAUUGUCUCGGUUGAGUACAAGUGUUGAAGCGGAUGGUAAAGUAAUGGUGUUUGAUGAGGAUCGCCUCAACAUUUCGAUUGACAUUCAUCUGGAAUUUUCAAUGAGU